GAGAAAAGUAAGAGCGCUAUUUUACCUAAAAUAUUCUUUUUCCACACAAAUAAAUACCCAUAUGCAACAGCUCAGCUGAGUCAUGGUUUCACUAAUUUCAUAAGGGAUUCUAACAGAGUUCAUAGGUGUUAAUGCUUUCCAGACCUCAAUCGAGGCCACUUAAGAAGUAUUUUCCCCUAAUUAAAAAAAGAAAACAUGUGGAUCAAUCAGCUGAAAUCAGUCUGUUGGUACUUUCUGGAUGGUGAUGCCUCGGAGUAGUUGAUAAGCUGCACAUGUGAGGUCAGGUUGUGUUCUUCACUUCAUGAUGGAAGGGCUACUGACCCAGAGUGGAAAGUUUAGCUGGUGUUUUGAUCAGGAUUUCUUACCUUUUUCUUCAUUAGAGGUUUAAUCUCCUGUUUCCCACAAGAUGGUGAUUGAGUCAGUGGGGGUAGUCCAGAUUCGAGACAAACUGGCUGACUUCUACAUAACGAAUGAAUGAGUUAAGUAGGAGUUUUCUAUGUUGAUAUUUUUCUAUCAGUAUCUGAAUGUAUUUUGGGUACAUGAAUAUCAAGAUCUCAUUCUCUCUAGUGAUCUGCAAUAAUCUGUUGUAUUUUUUAAAAUAAGGUUUUACAGAAAAUGAGACUUUCUUGUUUCAGCUCUUUGGUUGAAUUCUUCAGAUUAUCAGGGUUAAAACACCUUCACUCACAAGGCAAGGGAAAACCUCCACAUUUUUCUCUUCAUUUACAGAAAAUAUCUCCAGUGAUAACAUUCACCAGCAGUUUUCAAGUUACCUGUGUUGCUUUAAGUAACCUCGUACAGAGAUAUCUUGCCUGUAUCUCUAAUUGUGCAUUGCAGUCACUCUUGAUGGAAUUUUAUUCUUUAUUACUCCUAUUGUCUGCAC
ensembl:lncRNA